CAGCCAUUAUUUUUCCCGUUCAAGUCCAACCUCGCCUUGCAUUUACCUUUGUGGCCCCUCCAGUCAUAUUUUCCUCUCCCCUCUCCUCCAAGGAAACCAUCAAGUUUCAAGGAAUGGCUUUUUACAGCUCGUUGUGGGCAGAAACAUACAUGCGGCAAACAUCAAGUUUACCACCCUCGUCUCUUCGCUAGCAGCAGAGAGAGACGUGCGCCGUGUCAAUGCGCUUCUCACGGGCAUCCGCGAAAACUGUGUCACGGCCUAUGGAGUCCCAGGCUGGACCAGAGAGAGCCCUCCUCUGUUUUCCACAGUGAGGAAGAAGUAAUCAGUAUAACUUUGGAGUGUUUUCGGUCUCUGAUGGUGCCAAGAUGUAGCAUGGGUCCUGCCUUGUGGAAUGGGUAUGUCUAGUGGACAAUGAACACGAUUCCUUUGUGCUUGUUGUGGGACCAUGCUCACACACUGUUUCUCAAGUUCUCUAGGCUGAACUUGAAGAUCAGGGGCCUUCUUGAGUUAUAACCUGUGCAGCUGUGGGACCAGUGGAAUAUGCAUGUGGAUAUAGGUGAUGUCUCAAAAAAUGAAUGCUCUUCAGGAUUUUGUAAUUAACACCCAUUUUGAAAUUGUUGUGUAUGUGAUAUUUGUGAGAGCAAGGGGAAGACAAACAAAGGAUAGGUUGAGACAAAUACUGUGAAUCAGGAGCAAAAGUUCUGCAUGAUGUAUUUCUGUGACAUACGGAUGCAUAGUCUCCUGCUUUGGCAUGAUGAGUUAGUAGGGACCCUGAAUGAACUGUUGCAGCUGAAAUUAGUACAGUGCCUCUUAGAAGUGACAUUAGGAGCUGAUCAGAGGGAGAAAUGAGGCAUUUUCUCAAUAUUUUUCUAAGUCUCAAUUUUAUUAUAUUUUUAUAUGUAAUAAGAAGUGCUGUUGCACUAGAGCAGUGCAACAUUAAGCAAUGCAGUGUUAUUAAAAUGGUGAGGGGUCUGUGCAUACCUCUGGUGAGACAGUAAAAUAUCCCAAAUGUGGCAUAUUCAUGUGCUUGCAUAAAUGGGCUAGUUGACUUUGUUCCCUUUCUUGGGAAAGUCUUGCAGAUUGGGUAAGAAAAUUGAGGAUUCUUGGUUUAUGUUCCUGGAGGGAUUUCAUUGUGUGUCUUCUUUACCUUAGGCGAUACUGUAGCAGUUAAUUUAGUUACCUGGCACAGAAAGACUUCAUUCAGCCAUGACAGAAGACAGAAUUGUGAGGUGCAGAAAUGGUGGUGUCAGUAGGUACCUGGGCAGACUUACAAGGGAGUGUUGGGAAGGAGCAUGGCCACACCUUGCUUGGAAACUCACCUCUCUAGGAGGUGCAACAGAGGCAGAACCAGGUUUUCUGUGUAGGAAGACAAAGCUCAUCUGAUGUGUUUCCUGAAAUGUCCCUGCUGUCACCUGCAGGGAAAUACAAAGUCAGGCAGACCAGGCUCUCACCGAGCAGUUGGCAGUGCAGUGUAGGAGGAAAGUGUUCAGACUCGCUGAACUGCAGAAACAUGGAACAGAGGGAGCUUGUGUGGAGAGAAAAAACUUAAUCUUGAGAAAAUCAAAACCAGGUUUCUGGCACUUAAAAUUGAAAAGCUUUCAUAGGGGAGUCCUUAACAGUUUCUUAAAGACAGAGGCUCAGGUGUGGCAGAGCACACAGUAUGGGAUGAAGCAUUUCCUAGAAGUGAGAUUGCAGGAUCUUGUGCCUAUGAAAUAGUGUCAGGAUCGAGGCUGGCAAAAAAGUCGUGAAAAUGUUUGAACAAAUUUCAGUAGGGUUUGAUGGGGAAAAAAAAAAAAAGAAAAAGGAUGGCUGAACCAAAGCUUGUGUGCUGCUACAGAGUAAUCUGGAAAGUUCAACACGGAACUGAAAUGGCCAAUUUGAAACCGGAAUGCAUAUUCAAAAGGCAUAUCAGGCCCGUCAGUGGAACCUUUCAGUACUAGGGCACAGUAAUGUGAUGGAAUUCUAUUAAGAUAUAAUAGCAUACCCAAGGAAGAAGUGGCAGUAUGUGUAGAAGAAAACUUAAGUCUUGAAUCUGUUUCCUGGUGUGUUUUGAUGGUAAAAGUCAUCAGGACUGAAAUACCAGCCCUGUGGAGAACCAACCUGGUAACUGACCACCCAAUGUGUAAUGACUGCUCUGCUGAAGAAAAUCAGAGGGGCAGCAAGGGCUGGAUAGAAAAGCAAAAGGAGUAAUAACUUCUCCUCACAUGGGCUAGGUUGCACAUCUCGAGGUGUGGUGCAGAAUGCAAUUGUUUAGAUGCCACAAAUAAUGACUUAGAGCUGCUAUUCAGAGAGCCCUUCAGAAGAGCAGCAAUUCUUGACUUGAUCUCGAGUGCUACUCAGGUAAUUGGAUUCAGAUGUUGCUGUGGAACAGCCAGACUGUAGUUCUAAUAUUCUUUCAGGAAGAAUAAAAGACAAAGAAACCACUGAUGUGUUUAAUUU
ensembl:lncRNA